UACGUAGGGUGCAAGCGUUGUCCGGAAUCAUUGGGCGUAAAGAGCGCGUAGGCGGCCCUGUAAGUCCGCUGUGAAAGUCAAGGGCUCAACCCUUGGAUGCCGGUGGAUACUGCAGGGCUAGAGUUCGGAAGAGGCGAGUGGAAUCCUGGUGUAGCGGUGAAAUGCGCAGAUAUCAGGAGGAACACCGGUGGCGAAGGCGGGUCUCUGGGCCGAUACUGACGCUGAGGAGCGAAAGCGUGGGG
rnacentral:rRNA from 1 species